rnacentral:misc_RNA from 1 species
AAGUCGUAACAAGGUUUCCGUAGGUGAACCUGCGGAAGGAUCAUUAAAGAGAUAGGGUCUUCAUGGCCCGACCUCCAACCCUCUGUUGUUAUAACUACCUUGUUGCUUUGGCGGGACCGUCUCGGUCUCCGAGCGCACUAGCCCUCGGGUUGGUGAGCGCCGCGCAGAGUCACACAUCUGUUAAUAACCAGUCGUCUGAGUAUAAAAUUUUAAUUAAAUUAAAA